GUGGGGAAUCUUGCGCAAUGGGCGAAAGCCUGACGCAGCCAUGCCGCGUGAAUGAUGAAGGUCUUAGGAUUGUAAAAUUCUUUCACCGGGGACGAUAAUGACGGUACCCGGAGAAGAAGCCCCGGCUAACUUCGUGCCAGCAGCCGCGGUAAUACGAAGGGGGCUAGCGUUGCUCGGAAUUACUGGGCGUAAAGGGCGCGUAGGCGGACAGUUUAGUCAGAGGUGAAAGCCCAGGGCUCAACCUUGGAAUUGCCUUUGAUACUGGCUGUCUUGAGUACGGGGGAGGUGAGUGGAACUCCGAGUGUAGAGGUGAAAUUCGUAGAUAUUCGGAAGAACACCAGUGGCGAAGGCGACUCACUGGCCCGUUACUGACGCUGAGGCGCGAAAGCGUGGGGAGCAAACAGGAUUAGAUACCCGUGUAGUCC
rnacentral:rRNA from 1 species